CCAACCUGCCGGCACCAGAGUUACAGUGUUUUUUUGUUGUUGUGGGGAGGCGGAGCCCACGUGCUCUUGCAGAGUCUAAAGGCCUUUUGGAACCGCUAUUUCCGCAGGAGAGUAGGAACCGGCCCGGCUGAUUAGGAGGGUGUGGUCUAUCACCUACAGCCGGCGGAAUUGUGCGGGCUGGCGAACAUUCUUAAUGCUGCGCACUAGGAGAAUUCACUUCUGAGGUCUUCAAACCAGAAAACAAGAACACUUGACUGUUUAAAAAAACACAGGUGCCUGUGCCAUGUGAUAACCAGGAGAUACAGCCCAGGGCGGGGGAGUACGUGUCCAACCAAAGCAGCCUCCAACCCGGCACCACCACUACUGGCCGAGAGGCACUGGGCAAACUAGUCUCUUCACCCAUAUCCACCUACUAGGGUGGUUACGAGAACGAAGUGAGAUCAUCCGUGUAAAGCUCUCAGCGACAUGCCAUGCAGUAUUCAAAGGACGGCUGCUUCCUGUUCUGCCUUGGUUGUCACCUAAUCAUCUGCGAUUUCUACCGGAACAAUGAAGGUGAUGUUUCCACCUCAAAGACUUCUGGAAGGAGAAGAGUCAGCGGCCCAUAAGAUGGUAACCGAGCUUUCUUACGUUGCACACUGUUCCAGAGGUUCGGUGCAGCUAUCAACGUUAACAAACACAGACGGUGUCAGGAAGACAGCCAUAUCUGGACUGGCCCCUUGAUUCUGAACACCAUUAUUAUGAGAAGAAAUGACUCGACACUCCCAGAAGGUGUGACUUCGUGCCAGUCCAAAGCAACCUCUUGUGUGCCGGAGGAACCAUGGGCCUGACUUGCCACUUCUGACUCCACGCAGGUGAGAACAUCAACUCAUGGGCGUCUCGGGGACUAAUGAAAUAAGCAGUAGCAAGGUAUUAAAGUUCUUCGAAAGGAUUUGCUGUCUGAUCUUAUAGCAGCAGCAUCCAUUUCCUCUUUUGCUGGGAACACUCAGAUAAACGUGGGAAAGGAAGGACUUGAAAUAACUGGAGGCGUAAACUCUGGAUAUGUGUCUUCUCGUUAGCACAAUUUAUUAUUGGCCAAGUAGGGCUGUCCCC